GCGUGUGAUGAACAAUGGGUCUGCUGAUGAUGAUGAUGACCCGUUGGAGCACUGAUG
rnacentral:snoRNA from 1 species